rnacentral:rRNA from 1 species
ACGUGGGGUGACCUGUCUGGUUAAAUCCGAUAACGCGUGAGACCCUGGAAUGCAAUUUUGACGGUGCUCGACGAGAGUAAGGAAGCACGGGUCGAUAACA